UACGGGGGGGCAAGCGUUGUUCGGAAUUACUGGGCGUAAAGGGCGCGUAGGUGGCCAACUAAGUCAGACGUGAAAUCCCUCGGCUUAACCGGGGAACUGCGUCUGAUACUGGAUGGCUUGAGUUUGGGAGAGGGACGCGGAAUUCCAGGUGUAGCGGUGGAAAUGACGUAGAUAUCUGGAGGAACACCGGUGGCGAAGGCGGCGUCCUGGACCAAUACUGACACUGAAACGCGAAAGCCAGGGGAGCAAACGGG
rnacentral:rRNA from 1 species